ACCAGCAUGUUAUGGUGGGCACUCUAAGGAGACUGCCGGUGACAAACCGGAGGAAGGUGGGGAUGACGUCAAGUCAUCAUGGCCCUUACGGCCUGGGCUACACACGUGCUACAAUGGUCGGUACAAAGGGUUGCCAAGCCGCGAGGUGGAGCUAAUCCCAUAAAACCGAUCGUAGUCCGGAUCGCAGUCUGCAACUCGACUGCGUGAAGUCGGAAUCGCUAGUAAUCGUGAAUCAGAAUGUCACGGUGAAUACGUUCCCGGGCCUU
rnacentral:rRNA from 1 species